rnacentral:rRNA from 1 species
UGCAAGUCGAACGGCAGCACGGACUUCGGUCUGGUGGCGAGUGGCGAACGGGUGAGUAAUAUAUCGGAACGUGCCCUAGAGUGGGGGAUAACGUAGCGAAAGUUACGCUAAUACCGCAUACGAUCUAAGGAUGAAAGUGGGGGAUCGCAAGACCUCAUGCUCGUGGAGCGGCCGAUAUCUGAUUAGCUAGUUGGUGGGGUAAAAGCCUACCAAGGCGACGAUCAGUAGCUGGUCUGAGAGGACGACCAGCCACACUGGGACUGAGACACGGCCCAGACUCCUACGGGAGGCAGCAGUGGGGAAUUUUGGACAAUGGGGGCAACCCUGAUCCAGCAAUGCCGCGUGUGUGAAGAAGGCCUUCGGGUUGUAAAGCACUUUUGGCGGGAACGAAACGGUGGGGGCUAAUAUCCUCUGCUAAUGACGGUACCCGCAGAAUAAGCACCGGCUAACUACGUGCCAGCAGCCGCGGUAAUACGUAGGGUGCAAGCGUUAAUCGGAAUUACUGGGCGUAAAGCGUGCGCAGGCGGUUGUGCAAGACAGAUGUGAAAUCCCUGGGCUCAACCUAGGAAUUGCAUUUGUGACUGCACGGCUAGAGUGUGUCAGAGGGGGGUAGAAUUCCACGUGUAGCAGUGAAAUGCGUAGAUAUGUGGAGGAAUACCGAUGGCGAAGGCAGCCCCCUGGGAUAACACUGACGCUCAUG